UUCAGAAGCUGCACGGAUGUUUAGUGAGAACAAGCGCGAGUACAACAGAAGAGUCCGUGAAAUUGUUGAGCAGAGCUGGACAGCGGACUAAUUCUCUCUCUGGUUGCUUCAGGGCCUGCUGCGCUGAAUGGAUCAGUCUAAUUCUUCCUCCUGCUAGGGUGGUAUGAAUCUCACUGAAACUUUGAAGGCUAGUUUGAGGAUUGUGGCCACUUUAAUAACAAAUGUAUUGAGAAAAUUGUUACUCAGACAUCAUAUUGUAUGUUUGCUUGUAGGGACAUCAAGCUUCGCUAUCUUGAUUUUUCAGUACCAGCUAUUAUGUUCUGCACUUGUUUGAGUUCGUGUACAUAAUGAUUUCUUGUAUCAAAUUGCCCUGCAG
rnacentral:lncRNA from 1 species